ACAUUGGUGGUUCAGUGAUAGAAUCCUUGCCUUCCAUGCUGAAGACCUGGGUUCAAUUUCCAGCCAAUGUA
rnacentral:tRNA from 1 species